rnacentral:rRNA from 1 species
GAUGAACGCUAGCGGCAGGCUUAAUACAUGCAAGUCGUGGGGCAGCAUGAGUAGCAAUACUUGAUGGCGACCGGCAAACGGGUGAGGAACACGUACACAACCUUCCUUCAAGCGGGGAAUAGCCCAGAGAAAUUUGGAUUAAUACCCCAUAAUAUAUUUGAUAAGGCAUCUUAUUAAUAUUAAAGCUUCGGCACUUGAUGAUGGGUGUGCGGCUGAUUAGAUAGUUGGCGGGUAACGGCCCACCAAGUCUACGAUCAGUAGCUGAUGUGAGAGCAUGAUCAGCCACACGGGUACUGAGACACGGGCCCGACUCCUACGGGAGGCAGCAGUAAGGAAUAUUGGACAAUGGACGAAAGUCUGAUCCAGCCAUGCCGCGUGAAGGAUUAAGGUCCUCUGGAUUGUAAACUUCUUUAUAUGGGACGAAAAAAGGGCAUUCUUGUUCACUUGACGGUACCAUAUGAAUAAGCACCGGCUAACUCCGUGCCAGCA